UACGUAGGGUGCAAGCGUUGUCCGGAAUUAUUGGGCGUAAAGAGCUCGUAGGCGGUCUGUCGCGUCUGCUGUGAAAACCCGGGGCUCAACCCCGGGCUUGCAGUGGAUACGGGCAGACUAGAGUUCGGUAGGGGAGACUGGAAUUCCUGGUGUAGCGGUGAAAUGCGCAGAUAUCAGGAGGAACACCGGUGGCGAAGGCGGGUCUCUGGGCCGGAACUGACGCUGAGGAGCGAAAGCGUGGGGAGCGAACAGG
rnacentral:rRNA from 1 species